UUUCCGCAGGUGAACCUGCGGAAGGAUCAUUAUUGUAUAACCGAGGUGCGAGGGCUGUCGCUGACCCGAAAGGUCGUGCACGCCCGAGUGCCCUCACACACAUCCAUCUCACCCCUAUGUGCACCACCGCGUGGGUCCCCCUUUGGCUUGUUCGGAGGGGGGCUUACGUUUUCACACAAACUUUGUAUGCAGUGUAGAAUGUAUUUUUUGUUUUUGCGAUCACGCAAUCAAUACAACUUUCAACAACGGAUCUCUUGGCUCU
rnacentral:misc_RNA from 1 species